rnacentral:lncRNA from 1 species
AUUCACAACAUUCCUCCCCCGCCUCUCUUGGGCUGGACUGCGCGCCCCAGGCUUCUGGGGCUGCGCCCACACACGGCUUUGUUUACUGAGGGUCGCUUCCGGGCGCCGCGAGGGGACAAUCAACAUAGCCCGGCCGGUGAGCGAGACAGAGCAGCGGGAUCCCUUGGCAGUGGCUCAGCCCCUCGUCCCUCCCAGCUGUGCGACCCGAGAAACUCACUCAACCUCUCUGGGCACCGGGUCAAGUUUUGGUUCUUGUGGGGGCGGAGGGGUCGCAGGCUCACUGAGGGAGCUCAUGCGGGCCGCGGACCCCCUCUCCAGAAACAAAGCUCGGUUAGGGGGUUCAUAGGUCAUCCCUUGAGCCUCAAAACUAGUAUAGUACCCCGCCCCUCCUUUCCAUGCCCUAGAUACUAUCUUGGGUCAUAUGAAAUUGCUAAUUUUUUUUUACCAUUUUUGGCCUGUUAAAAUGGCAAUUCCAUGAGGUUCACCCUAACACUUAAUCAAACCCCAGCACCUCUGAGCAUUUUUUCUGACUCAGCUUGUGUAGGCCACCGUCUCUGGCCUGGAAGCUGGCCAUGGCUUCCAUCACCCGUUCCCGUCCCGGCUCCUUGCCAAUGUCCUCAGAGGACCCUGCAUUUUUCCUUCCUCAUACUUCUCACCAUUACCAUUUAUUUAUCUGUUUCGGCGGUUUUUUUUUUUUUUUUUUUUUUUUUUUUUACGGAGUUUCACUCUUGUCGUCCAGGCUGGGGUGCAGUGGUGCGAUCUCGGCUCACUGCAACCUGCGCCUCCCGGGGUCAAGUGAUUCUCCUGCCUCAGCCUCCCGAAUAGCUGAAAUUAUAGGCGCCCACCACCACGCCCGGCUAAUUUUUGUAUUUUUGGUAGAGACGGAGUUUUGCCAUGUUGGCCAGGCUGGUCUUGAACUCCUGACCUCAAGUGAUCCACCUUUGGUAGUUGCUUAAUUUCAAUCUCUCCCUCUCCACUGUGAGCCUCAGGAGGCAGGAGUUUGUCCCAUCUGUGCUUUACUGUACCGGCAGCACCUGGAAGGUAGGCGCUUAACCUAGAACUUGUUGAAUGUACCAACCAACACAUGCUUUGCCUCCAUUCAGUUAAAUGAUAGGCACAGCAGAAAAAAAAAAAAAACAGUGAUUAUCCACUCAUCCAUAUGGAAGCCCUAGCUUUUUCUUGGAGAAACUUCGAGUCUCACAGCUGCACCCUCUGGCCAGUCUUCACCCACUCUCCCUGCCACCCCCUCAAUUAGUUAAACUCCCCUGCAGACCUGCACUGUCCAGUAUGGUCACCAAUGGCCACAAGUGGUCUCUGAGCCCUUGAAAUGGGACUGGCUGAAAUUAGGUUGUGCUGGAAAGGUAAAAUACAGAGUGGAUUUUGGAGACAUAGCAGGAAGGGAACAAGGAAAAAUAUUUCUUUUUUUUUUUUUGAGAUGGAGUGAUCUCAGCUCACUGCAACCUCUGCCUCCCAGGUUCACGUGAUUAUUCUGCCUCAGCCUCCCAAGUAGCUGGGGCUACAGGCACCCACCGCCACGCCUGACUAACUUUUGCAUUUUUAGUAGAGACGGGGUUUCACCAUAUUGGCAGGCUGGUCUCAAACUCCUGACCUUAUGAUCUGCCUGCCUUGGCCUCCCAAAGUGCUGGGAUUCCAGGCGUGAGCCACCACGCCCGGCCUAAAAUAUUUCAUUAAGAAUGUUUUCCAUCCUGGCUAACACAGUGAAACCCCUUCUCUACUAAAAAUACAAAAAAUUAGCCGGGCAUGGUGGCAGGCGCCUAUAGUCCCAGCUACUAGGGAGGCUAGGGCAGGAGAAUGGUGGGAACCCAGGAGGCAGAGGUUGCAGUGAGCCAAGAUUGCGCCACUGCACUCCAGCCUGGGGGACAGAGUGAGACUCCAAAAAAAAAAAAAAAAGAAUGUUUUGGCCAGGCGCGGUGGUUCACGCCUGGAAUCCCAGCACUUUGGGAUGGUGAGGUGGGAAGAUCACUUGAGCCCAGGAGUUUGAGACCAGCAUGGGCAACAUGGCGAAAACCCAUCUCUAUUAAAAAAUAAGAAAAUCAGCUGGGCGUGGUGGCACAAGCCAGUAGUCCCAGCUACUCUGGAGGCUGUGACAGGAGGAUCUCUCGAGCCCAAGAGGUUCAGGCUACAGUGAGAUAUGAUUGUAUCACUGUGCUCCAGCCGGAGUGACAGUGUGACCGUCUCAGGAAAACAAACAAACAAACAAAAAAACAGAAAACGAGGCCGGGCAAGGUGUCUCACACCUGUAAUCCCAGCACUUUCGAAGACUGAGACAGGCGGAUCACCUGAGGUCUGGAGUUCAAGACCAGCCUGGCCAACAUGGUGAAACCCCGUCUCUACUAAAAAUACAAAAAUUAGGGCCGGGCACAGUGGCUCACGCCUGUAAUCCCAGCACUUCGGGAGGCCGAGGCGGGCGGAUCAUGAGGUCAGGAGAUGCAGACCAUCCUGGUUAACACGGUGAAACCCCGUCUUUAUUAAAAAUACAAAAAAAUUAGCCUGGCGUGGGGGCGGGCACCUGUAGUCCCAGCUACUCCGGAGGCUGAGGCAGGAGAAUGGCGUGAACCCGGGAGGUGGAGCUUGCAGUGAGCUGAGAUCGCGCCACUGCACUCCAGCCUGGGCAAUAGAGCAAGACUCCGCCUCAAAAAACAAAACAAAACAAAACAAAACAAAAAUCAGCUGGGCGUGGUGGCGGGCGCCUGUAAUCCCAGCUGCUUGCGAGGCUGAGGCAGGAGAAUCACUUGAACCCAGGAGGCGGAGUUUGCAGUGAGCCAAGAUUGCACCACGGCACUCCAGCCUGGGCAACAAAGUGAGACUCUGUCUCAAAAAAAAAAAAAAAAAGACAGAACAAAAGAAAGCAAAUGUUUAGUGUUGUUAACAUGUUGAAAUUAUAUUUUAGAUAAACUUGGUUUAAUAAAAUACAUUAUUAAAAUUGAUUUCAUAUAUUUUCUUUUACAUGGUUUCAGGACAUUUAAAUUACGUAUGUAGGCUGGGUACAGUGGCUCAGGGCUGUAAUCCCAGCACUUUGGAAGGCCGAGGCGGGCAGAUCAUCUGAGGUCAGGAGUUUAAGAC